rnacentral:rRNA from 1 species
GAUCCUGGCUCAGGAUGAACGCUAGCUACAGGCUUAACACAUGCAAGUCGAGGGGCAGCAUGGUCUUAGCUUGCUAAGGCCGAUGGCGACCGGCGCACGGGUGAGUAACGCGUAUCCAACCUGCCUUACACGUCUUGGACAGCCUUCUGAAAGGGAGAUUAAUACAAGAUGUUAUCAGUGAGUAAGCAUUUUCGCAUGAUUAAAGGUUUACCGGUGUAAGAUGGGGAUGCGUU